AUGAAAAUUCUCAAUGGAGCUUAAGCAAUCUAGCAUCACAAACUCUCAGAUGUGCGGUCAGAAAGAAAAAGAUGAACUAGAAAUUUCAAAUUCUUGUUACCAAAUUAGAAAAUAUUGUGAAUACCACUCUAAGAAUUUUAUGCUGUAAUUUUUAGAUAAGAAGGUUCUAAACAGCAAUGUAUUUUGAGAAGAGAAUUUUGUGGGUAGUGCAUAAAAUGAGGGUGAUACAGGCCACGGGAGAUAGAGAAACCUUUAGAAGCUCACUGUGAAUAGAAAUGAUGAGCAACACAGCUAUGACAAUGACAAGAAUGGGAAAGAAAGGGAAAGGACAGCUUUUACAGGCCUGUAGUGUAGAAAAUUGAUGGGUUUUGUUGGCCAAAUUAAUAGCGGGUAAAAAGCCAAAGGAAAACUUGAGUUAUGAGAUAAACGGGAUAUAGUGUCAAACUGGAGAGAAAGAGAAGCAGGUUUACAAGAAGAUAAUGAGUCAAGGGUAUGUUGAAUUAGAGAUUGAACACUUUACUUCAAGAAUCCAUUACAGUCAAGAGACAGAGUAGCAGGUUCCCAUCUGCUGGCUUGCUACCGAUGUACCUGCAAGAGCUGAAGCUGCUCCCAAGCAAAGCUGGGAGCUGGCAGUGCAAUCUACUUCUCUCAUGUGGGUGGCAGGGAUCCACUUACUUGAACCAUCACUUGCGGACUGCCCCCAUCCUCAGUGUGUGCACCAACAUGGUACUUUUGGAGUCAGAUACUGAAUCAAGCAGCCAGAGUGAACCAUAAUGUUCGAUAGCUGAAGAUGGAUCUUUUCUUUGCCCCUGCUCUGUGAUUCAGUAUCACUCCUUAGAGGACUGGGAGGAGGUGGUGUUGGUCAUAAUGGAUUUAACUAGAAUUACUGGUAAAGGGUAAAAUGAGGAACAAAUCAAGGUGACAGUGGAGCCAAUCUGCUACAUUCUACAAGUUUCUUGGCUUUCAUCUGGAGUCUACAGUAGCAACUGGCAGGUCUCGGUGUGGGGCAUCCAUGAAGGAGGAAAGCUUCACCUUCCUUUCAGAUUUAAAGGCCCAGACUGCUGCAUGAUAGAUUCUUCCCUAAUAUCAUUAGCUGCACAUGCCGCUAAUUGUAGUGGCUGCUAAUCCAUCUGAGCAGCCAAAAUGAUAUUAGCUUUCAAUAGGAUUUACAUAUAUCCAGCCUUGUUUCUGCAUCAGCUAGCAAUUAAAGUUUAAACUGUUGAACACGCAGCUUGCUGUAGGCUAAGUAAUAUUUAAUGGCAUUAACAAUGCAUUUCUCUAUUUGCCUCUGAAUCUUCUUAAAGGCUCAUCAAUUUGCCAUUACCUUCAUGUGGUGUGGUCCACAUCAAUUCGUAUCCUAACAGUUUCCGGAGGAGGGCACUAUCUCAAGAUAAGACAAUGGAAACACUAGCUGAACGAAGUAGCACCAGUGCCAUUAUGUUUCUAUUCCUUUCCACUCUCCUUUACACACACACACACACAAACGGACAUUUUGAGGGACAUAAAAAUA